rnacentral:miRNA from 1 species
UAACUCUAGAGGGCACUAGUC